rnacentral:rRNA from 1 species
CGGGAACGGUCAUACAAUGCAAGUCGAGCGGUAACAUUUCAAAAGCUUGCUUUUGAAGAUGACGAGCGGCGGACGGGUGAGUAAUGCCUGGGAAUUUGCCCAUUUGUGGGGGAUAACAGUUGGAAACGACUGCUAAUACCGCAUACGCCCUACGGGGGAAAGCAGGGGACCUUCGGGCCUUGCGCUGAUGGAUAAGCCCAGGUGGGAUUAGCUAGUAGGUGAGGUAAAGGCUCACCUAGGCGACGAUCCCUAGCUGGUCUGAGAGGAUGAUCAGCCACACUGGGACUGAGACACGGCCCAGACUCCUACGGGAGGCAGCAGUGGGGAAUAUUGCACAAUGGGGGAAACCCUGAUGCAGCCAUGCCGCGUGUGUGAAGAAGGCCUUCGGGUUGUAAAGCACUUUCAGCGAGGAGGAAAGGGUGUAAGUUAAUACCUUACAUCUGUGACGUUACUCGCAGAAGAAGCACCGGCUAACUCCGUGCCAGCAGCCGCGGUAAUACGGAGGGUGCGAGCGUUAAUCGGAAUUACUGGGCGUAAAGCGUGCGCAGGCGGUUUGUUAAGCGAGAUGUGAAAGCCCCGGGCUCAACCUGGGAACCGCAUUUCGAACUGGCAAACUAGAGUCUUGUAGAGGGGGGUAGAAUUCCAGGUGUAGCGGUGAAAUGCGUAGAGAUCUGGAGGAAUACCGGUGGCGAAGGCGGCCCCCUGGACAAAGACUGACGCUCAGGCACGAAAGCGUGGGGAGCAAACAGGAUUAGAUACCCUGGUAGUCCACGCCGUAAACGAUGUCUACUCGGAGUUUGGUGUCUUGAACACUGGGCUCUCAAGCUAACGCAUUAAGUAGACCGCCUGGGGAGUACGGCCGCAAGGUUAAAACUCAAAUGAAUUGACGGGGGCCCGCACAAGCGGUGGAGCAUGUGGUUUAAUUCGAUGCAACGCGAAGAACCCUUACCUACUCUUGACAUCCACAGAACUUUUCAGAGAUGAAUUGGUGCCUUCGGGAACUGUGAGACAGGUGCUGCAUGGCUGUCGUCAGCUCGUGUGUGAAUGUUGGGUUAGUCCCGCACGAGCGCACCCCUAUCUACUGCAGCGGGUAUGCGGAACUUAGGAGACUGCGUGAUAACCGGAGAAGUGGGGACGACGUCAGUCAUCAUGGUCCUACCGAGUUAGGCUACACACGUGCUACAAUGGUCAGUACAGGGCCAAGCCCGCGAGGGUGAGACUAUCCAUAAAGCCGUGGGCGCCAAAAU